rnacentral:rRNA from 1 species
UACAGAGGGUGCGAGCGUUAAUCGGAAUUACUGGGCGUAAAGGGCGCGUAGGCGGCGGGGUAAGUCGGGUGUGAAAUCUCAGGGCUCAACCCUGAAACUGCACUCGAUACUGCUCUGCUUGAGGACUGGAGAGGAGACUGGAAUUCACGGUGUAGCAGUGAAAUGCGUAGAGAUCGUGAGGAAGACCAGUGGCGAAGGCGGGUCUCUGGACAGUUCCUGACGCUGAGGCGCGAAGGCCAGGGGAGCAAACGGG